CAGCCGCCGCGGUAAUACGUAGGGUGCGAGCGUUAAUCUGAUUUACUGGGCGUAAAGCGUGCGCAGGCGGCCCGUUAAGACAGGUGUGAAAUCCCUGGGCUCAACCUAGGAAUUGCGCUUGUGACUGGCGGGCUCGAGUACGGUAGAGGGGGGUGGAAUUCCUGGUGUAGCAGUGAAAUGCGUAGAGAUCAGGAGGAACACCGAUGGCGAAGGCAGCCCCCUGGGCCUGUACUGACGCUCAUGCACGAAAGCGUGGGGAGCAAAGAGGAUUAGAUGCCAUGGUAGUCAACGCACUAAACGAUGGGUACUAGCCGUUUGGUGCGCGAGAGCGCUGAGUGGCGAAGCUAACGCGUGAAGUACCCCGCCUGGGGAGUACGGCCGCAAGGUUGAAACUUAAAGGAAUUGUCGGG
rnacentral:rRNA from 1 species